rnacentral:rRNA from 1 species
UAUAUCGGAACGUACCCUGGAGUGGGGGAUAACGUAGCGAAAGUUACGCUAAUACCGCAUACGAUCUACGGAUGAAAGUGGGGGCUUCGCAAGAACCUCAUGCUCGUGGAGCGGCCGAUAUCUGAUUAGCUAGUUGGUAGGGUAAAAGCCUACCAAGGCAUCGAUCAGUAGCUGGUCUGAGAGGACGACCAGCCACACUGGAACUGAGACACGGUCCAG